GUUAGUUUAAGAAGAUAAUUAGGUUUCUUUUAAGGAGUAAUAAAGCAGCUUUGUGUCUUAGAUCAUUUGUUUUGCUUUCUUUAACGCCAAGUAUCCGAAAUUAAGAAUUACACCCAAGUCUACAGAAUCAUCAAUCUACUCAAUCUUCAUACUGUUGCGUUGAAUCACGUCGCCAAUACAAUACACGAUCGAGGUGAAAUGCGACUAAAGUAAUAAACGAUUGAGUCAUAACGCGAACGUUAAAUGCACGAUCGAGGUGAAAUGCGACUAAAACUUAUAGCCACUAGAAAAAAAAACUAUUGAGACACAAUGCGAAAAUUAAAUAUGAGAUCGAGGUGAAAUGCGAUUCGGUGAAUUACUACAUCAAUUUUA